UCCAUCCAGAGUUAUUUUUUAACCCAUGUCAGAAUACUUACGUAAAUACAUUUUGGUGACUUUAACUGAAAAUAAACUCAUACCAGAAUGAAACUGGUUGGCAAGAAACACACGCUGUCUGAGCAAACACACUCCACCCCAUAUCUUCAGUUUCACUCAGCUCCACAGACGUUUGUGAGGCGCGUGGGAUAAAUGGAGGGAAUGCGGACGUGGAUGACGUGUAACGCUUACCUUCCUGGCUGCCAAGCCUGAUGACCGGAGUUUGGUUCGUGGGAUCCACGCGGUUGACUGACUCCCGAAGGUACAGCGGCCCAAGGAGCACCCACCACACGAUGAUAACGAUUCAGUUGCUUCAGGAUGCCGAGCGUGAGGAAACACAUCCUGACGGGGGCUGCACACUGCGCAUGCUCCGGAGAUCAGCAAUCAUCUUAACUACUGACCAUGGAGAGAGGACCCGCUGAGGGCCCCAGAGCAGGAGAUGCGCUUUAGUUGAAUAAAAAUCACACAUUA